UACGUAGGGUGCAAGCGUUGUCCGGAAUUAUUGGGCGUAAAGAGCGCGCAGGCGGCUGGUCAAGUCCGAUGUGAAAUCUCCCGGCUUAACUGGGAAACUGCAUCGGAAACUGAUCGGCUUGAAGGUGGGAGAGGGUAGUGGAAUUCCCGGUGUAGUGGUGAAAUGCGUAGAUAUCGGGAGGAACAUCAGUGGCGAAGGCGGCCAUCUGGGACAACACUGACGCUGAAGCACGAAAGCGUGGGGAGCAAACAGG
rnacentral:rRNA from 1 species